UAAGCCACCAGCCACCAUGGAAGAAACCUCUACUCACCUUCAAUGACCAGAAUUGGGGAGUGGCCAUUCUUCAGCCUCUGUAGUGAGGAGAGUUGGAAUCCACUGUAGUGAGAACAGGCUUGCCCAUGGUUCCACCAGGCCCAUUUGUGAAGCAGCAAGGCUAAUGUGGCAGAGAUGGAACAAAAUCUGAGUUUUUUGGGGAAAGAAGGAAGGAAGGAGGGAAGGAAGGAAGGAAGGAUGGAAGGAAGUAAGAAUGAAUGCUAGAUGAAUACACAGUUCCAAGAUCUUAAAUUAGGAAGAGUUUAAGACUGGCCUCAAUUAAUCCUCUUCGUUAUAAACAUUAACCUAUUGCUAACAUGCCUUUUAUACCUUAUGAUGCAAAAAGAAUGUCAGUCUCCUUCCCAGCCCCGCAUUCCACCGCAAAAGAUCUGUUAUUUAGCAUCUGUAUAUGUCAAGCUCCAGGAAAAGAGGUUUGAGAAGGAGAAAACUCACUCUGUCCUGAUUUAAUUGUUCUAUUUAUGCUACAAAUGCUUCCCACUUUUCAACAGUCUUCCUCCUGUCUGGAAUAGCCAGUCUGAGGGAGUGGGCUCCACGUGGUAGCAAGUCCUUUCCAGUAUGUGUGCCUUAUCUCCCUGUGGUCCCCUUAUCUCCCUCUGGUCAUGAGGGUGGCACGGCCCUUUUCCCUAUAAAUCAUCAAACAUCAUCAAAAGUGUUUGCAGCCCCAACUUUGUGGACAGGCUGAGGAGAGUUGGAAUUGACCCCUCUACUGCUUCUUAGAAAUGGAAUCUUGGCCAAUGAUUUCACCUCCUUCUUUUUCCAUUUGCCUCUCUCUAGCAGAAAUCAUGAUAAUAACUCCCAUUCCCUAGGAUUGCGGAGAAGAUGAAAAAAGGGGAAGCCAGUGAACACCUAGCCACAGAGCCUCAUGCGGGGGAAGUGCCUAACAGUUAUUGAUGGUUGUUAUUUUUAAGUUCAUAGGAAUAUAGGUAUUAUUAUGAUGUCAUCUAGAAAAUUCCAAAGCAGCCAGUGAAGCUGAGCUGGUGCUUCCACCCCCAGGAGAGCAGGAGAGACGCCACUCAGCACCCGCAGGGACACAGCAUCACAUGGCCCCGAGGAGGAAGCCGAGAGUCUUGACUGCACUUGAUUCAGCAGAGACUGUCUGCCAACAAGCCAUCAGGACAACUUACCAGCUGUACAAAUGACUGCUUCCUCUUUGCCAGGGCCAGUGAGCUUGAAGACCUGCCCAGCCAGUGGGCUCCCUGUCACAGUCGCAGACAAAGAAUGUAUUCCUCAAACCCCACAACGAGGUCUGCUGUAAAGUCGUGGUGGAGAACUGCAGGUAGAAGCUAAAUUUAAACUUGAAACCAUACCUGAUAAUUACUACCUUCAAUCCCCUGCUGAAAAUGAGUCAACAAAUCACCUUGGUCAUUAACUGUAACCAAGGCAGGAUCCUCUGAAAGUCUGCUUAGAAAGGAAGAACAGCCCUGGUUUCCAGCCAACGUGGGUUUCAGGGAAUGUUCUGCUGCUUCCUGGCUACGGAGCUUUUGCAAAGACCAGAGGAGCUGUGUCAGUUCUGAUGGACAACAGCAUGUCCACAUGCAGUAUCUGGACAGUCUGGGUCUUGAGGUACAAGGUUGACCAUGUAGAAGAGAAGAUGGUAGAGCCCCAGGUUCUUGAUGCUAUUGUUGGGAAACUGAAUCAAGACAUUGGAAAGUGGUCUUACUUCUAGAAGGUUUGGUAUCUGAGGCAAGUCCUGCUAUGGUUUAAGCCAUUGUGAGUGGGGUUUCUGUCGCCUCAGUUAGAAGUGUGCUAACUGGUGUACUGGGCACUCAGGAGGAGCAGCUGAUGGUGCAUGUGAAGUGUUUUGUGUGGUCCGUGAUAAGUGGAGUUGAUAUGGAGGGAAGCGUCCCACACAUCACCAUCUCUGUGUCUUUGCCACGAUGUUUUCUCUACUUGGUACAGAGUGAUGCAAUUUUCACUUGUAGGGAAAGAACUAAGGGAAUAGGAUACAGAAAGACCAAAGGUCUUAACAAUCACAUAGGAAUGAGAAGCACAGAUGGAGGCUGUCCCUGGCCUUUGCCAAGCCCUGGGCUGACCCCAGUAAUCAAGCACAGAAUCCCUUUCCAUGCCUGGAAACUCUCAGGACAGGAAUGGGCAACCGUAAGGGCUCACCUAAUUUGUUUCCCUUCUCUUAGGGAUCACUCUCCA